AGCAACGCGAAGAACCUUACCAGGUCUUGACAUCCUUUGACCAUCCUAGAGAUAGGACUUUCCCUUCGGGGACAAAGUGACAGGUGGUGCAUGGUUGUCGUCAGCUCGUGUCGUGAGAUGUUGGGUUAAGUCCCGCAACGAGCGCAACCCUUAUUGUUAGUUGCCAUCAUUCAGUUGGGCACUCUAGCGAGACUGCCGCAGACAAUGCGGAGGAAGGUGGGGAUGACGUCAAAUCAUCAUGCCCCUUAUGACCUGGGCUACACACGUGCUACAAUGGAGAGUACAACGAGUCGCAAAGCCGCGAGGCUAAGCCAAUCUCUUAAAGCUCUUCUCAGUUCGGAUUGUAGGCUGCAACUCGCCUACAUGAA
rnacentral:rRNA from 1 species